rnacentral:rRNA from 1 species
GACGGAGGGUGCUAGCGUUGUUCGGAAUUACUGGGCGUAAAGGGCGCGUAGGCGGCCUGGUCAGUCGGAUGUGAAAUCCCGGGGCUCAACCCCGGAACGGCAUCCGAGACGGCCAGGCUGGAGACCGGGAGAGGAGAGUGGAAUAGCCAGUGUAGAGGUGAAAUUCGUAGAUAUUGGGAAGAACACCGGUGGCGAAGGCGGCGACCUGGUCCUUUUACUGACGCUGAGGCGCGAAAGCGUGGGGAGCAAACAGG